rnacentral:rRNA from 1 species
GACGAACGCUGGCGGCGUGCUUAACACAUGCAAGUCGAACGGAAAGGCCCUGCUCUUGUGGGGUGCUCGAGUGGCGAACGGGUGAGUAACACGUGAGUAACCUGCCCUUGACUUUGGGAUAACUUCAGGAAACUGGGGCUAAUACCGGAUAGGAGCUCCUGCUGCAUGGUGGGGGUUGGAAAGUUUCGGCGGUUGGGGAUGGACUCGCGGCUUAUCCGCUUGUUGGUGGGGUAGUGGCUUACCAGGGCUUUGACGGGUAGCCGGCCUGAGAGGGUGAACGGCCACAAUGGGACUGAGAUAGGGCCCAGAAUCCAACGGGAGGCAGCAGUGGGGAAUAUUGCGCAGUGGGCGGAAGCGUGAUGCAGCAACGCCGCGUGCGGAAUGACGGCCUUCGGGUUGUAAACCGCUUUCGCCGGUGACGAGGCGGGAGUGACGGUAAUGGGUAAAGAAGCACCGGCUAACUACGUG